GACGACGACGACCCCGUCGGCGACGAAUCGUCUCCGUCGCCGUCGAUCGCCAUUCGCCCCCUCGACGAGUCCCCCCUCGCCAUGGGCGGCGACAGGUUCAGCUUCAGAUCCAAUCUAGGGCUCCGGCGACUCAUCCUCUCGUUCCAGGUGCGCUCCGAUCUCGAUUCCCCCACCCUUUCUCCCUCUCAAUUAAAAAUUUUCGAAUUAUAGUCUCGAAAUUGGUCGAAAUUGCGGUUUUAGGGGGUAGGAGAGAAGAUGCUUAUGAGAAGCGCUUCUCCUUAAAGUACUUUUUGGCUUGUGUGUAUGCGCUAGGGAAUGAGAUGGUGAGCCUCUUCCCUGGUGCUAUUUAUACUAAAGGAUUCAAAGGGAGAGGUGUGGUCAAUUGGUUUUCUUUAAUACAACACAACAAAUACUUUAAUACACAUCUCUCUCUCUCUCUCUCUCUCUCUCUCUCUCAAAAUUUUUAGGCAUAGACUUCGUUUAGGAUUGUGGAAAGAUUACAUUACGUGCGGUGAGAAUUCGCCUGUAAUAUUGUGUUCCGCAUAUUGCGAUUAGUAAGUUAUGAUAUAUUUUCUGUGGUCCAUCGAAGAACGUAGAAUCAUAUUUCUAUAUGGUUUUUCUCAAUUUCAUUCUAUCUAAUAGCGUUAGAUCCACCUCAAUACCAAACUAAGGAAUCCUAUCUAACGCUAUUAAAUAAAAAAAAAAAAGAUAAAAGUAUGUGGAGAUAUGUUUCUGCGUUCUCCGAUAAAACCACAGAAAAUAUAUCAUAACCGACUCAUCACACUGCAAAAAAUAUAUCGUAACUGACUCAUCACGAUAUGCGAAACGUAAUAUUAUAUACGAAACAAACAAGAUAAGUCUUAAUAGAAGAAGAGAGGGAGCGAGAGAAAAGUGGGGACAGUGUGAGAGAUGAGACCACAAAAAAGAGUUGAAUUAAUUGCGGGAAAGGAAAUAAAGGGUGUAGGUAGAGAGAGGGAUUAGGAAGAGAUAUUGAAAUAAAUAUAAAUUGCAAUUAAUAAGUGAGGCUACAAAAUUAAAUCAAUAGUUGCAAUCCACCUUAAUUUAUUCAACACUUUCGCUGGUCGGUGAAAAAUCUUAUCAUAUAAAGUAUUUAUUAGAUUCGAUUAAUUAAGUGAUGUAUACAUAAAAUUAUUAUUUGUAAAAAGCUUGAACUAGCAGAAAACGAUAGUAUUUUAAUGUUUAUAUAUAUUGAGCACUCAUACUUACCAGAUUUAAGACAUGACUUGAAUUAUAUAAAAUUAAAAUUAUCUCUUGCUAUGAUAUUAUGUUAGAAAAAUAUGAAAUAAUUGUUAUUUUCUGAAACUUUAAGUUGCUAGCAAACAAUAUUUUUCAACUUUCCAGAUAUUUGGACAAUAAUCACACUACAACAAAAACGGUCUAUAGCGACACUUUUAAAUGUUGGUAUAGGUCAAAAAAAGUGCUGCUGGCUAAAUUACCAACACUUUUAAAAUGUGUUGCUAUAUGUGAGGUCGCUAGAUAUAUAGUGACAGUUAAAGAGUGUCGCUAUAACCUAAAAAGAGUGCUGUUAAUUUAGCAGCACUUAUUUAAGUAUCUAGCAACCGUCAGAACUCUACCUUGUUGGCUGCGGUGGCGGAGGAGGACAAGAGGGAAGGGCUCUUCGUCUAGGAUUUAAGUAGAAUGAGUGAGAGGAGAAGAGGAGAUGGUAAUCGAUUUUUCUUUGUUUUUUCUUUUCUGUUUGUAAUCGAGCCAAAUAGACUGGGUUGGGUGGGUUGAGUAGAGUAACCUUUUAUUUUUUAUUGGAUUCGGCUUUAUAUUUAGACAUUAGUAGAUAUUUUUUAAAAUUUUGGCAUAAAUGAAACACUUAGACACAUGUGUCGCUAUAACCUAAUUCUGUUGUAGUGUCAGUUGUUCUUAAUUCAAAUUUAGUUGCAUCCUAUUUAAUUCAAAUACAUAAAAUUAAAAUAUUUUCAGUCUCUUAGACUUAUUUAGUUGCGUCCUAUUUAAUUCGAAUUUAUGUUUUAUCACUAAUUAAAAUAGCUUCGGGUAUAAACAAUAAAUGUAGUAAUAAAUAAAGAAUAUUAACAUUUUUUUUAAAAUACCUUAAAGAUUUAGGUGAAGAAAAAAGUUCGCCUAAAAUUUAGAAAAUCUCGCCGGAAUACAAUAUCUUGAGAAGUAAAUGCUACAUAUAUAUUAUUUUAUGGAGGAGUCAUUUUUUAGUUAAUUAGUUACUAGUGUUCAUUAAUUAUUAAGCAUUGAUAAAGUACCUUGCUCGUUAAUAAUAAGUAAAACAUUGACUAAGACCUCAUUUAAAAAUGAUUUGGGUAGCUCUUAGGGCAUCCGACGUGUCAAAAUAAGUUUGGAGAAAUUAUUUCCUGGACCUAGCUCACCAUGUUUGCUAUGGACCACUCAUUUAAUCUCCAUCUAUUUCUAUUUAAAAUAAAAAUUGAAUUACAAGAAAAACCAAGCAUUAAAUCACUGGGUGGAUAGUAUUGAGAAAUUUAAAAAAAAAAAAAGAAAAAGAAAUGAAUGGACUGGUCCAUGGACAACGUGGUGAACCGGGUUCACGUGUAAGUUUUGAUUUUAGCACCUAAUGUCAACUCACAGGUGUCUUUAGGAAAUCCUUAAUUUUAUUUUGAAAAUAAUGUAGGAGAAAUGAGCUUUGUUUCAUUUGGUUUAUAUUUUUAUAUAAAAAAUUUAACAAAAGUUUUUUUUUUUAAAAAGAAAUUUAGAGGUUUUUUUAUGAAUAACCUUUCUAGAAGCUCAUGAACAUCUGGGUUUCAGAAUCCAAAAGUUUUAAUUAAAGAAGGAAGAGUUCAAUAAAUAAAAUUAUUAUUUGUGUGGAAUUAUCCAAAAAUUUAUAUAAUUUCCAAUGCCCGUCUACAUAAUUAGAUUAUAUAUAUAUAUAGAGAGAGAGAGAGAGAGUGAGUUGAGAUGGAAUGCUAUCGGUAACAAAUGAGAUCCGUUGACAUCCAUUUAUUUUCGAUGAUGGAGCCUCUUAAUCGACGAUCGAUACCAUUGAAUAUGAUCUAUACUACUUGAAAUAUCUAGAAACUAGAUUUCAAAUCUUUUCGACACCAUUGAUCUAAUGAUCAAAGAAUUUCAAAAUUUGUAAUUUUAAUUGUUGUAUAACACGUUUUCUUGUUUAACGACGUAAAGAUAUCCAAAUCAAUUGAAUUUUGAUUAGAAAAUUUUUUAAAUUAUUUAGAACAAGAUCUAUACUCUUGAUUUUCAUUACAAAACUUUUAUCAUUACUUUUUAAAGGAUAUUCAUUUUCAACUGUUGAUUUUUUUAUCCACUUGAUGGAUAAGAGAAUAAUAUCGAAAAAAUAUGAAAUUUGAUUUCUAAAUACAUCAAGUAGUAUAGAUCAUGUAAAACAGUGCCGGUCGUCGAUUUAGGGGUUCCAUCAUCGAAAGCAAAUGAGUGACAACAGAAUUCAUUUGCUACCGGCUAUCGCUAGCAAUCCAGCUCAACUCUAUAUAUAUAUAUAUAUAUAUAUAUAUAGAGAGUCCGGCUAUGGUGCUUGUAAAAGCACCAAGCACUUGGUGUUUGUGAAUUUUUUACCGUUAAAUCUACGCUUUUAAUCAUUUUCAUCCGUUAGAUUAUACUAUUCAACCAACUAACCACUCAACCCUAGGGGGCCGUAUCAUCCUAACCGCACAUUCCUUAAUCCAAGGGCCGAAAACUUACAAGCACCAAUGCUCAACUCUAUAUAUAUAUAGGUAUGCUUUGGACAAGCACGGAGCGCUCCGUGCUUCACUUUGUUUUCGAUGUUCGGACUUUCGAAUCGACGAUCGGCUCCAUUAGACUUGAUCUAGAGUAUUUGAAGUAUCUAGAAAUAAAUUUUUGCGAUUUUUCGAUAUCAUUUGCCAGUGAUCGAAGUGGCUCAAAAUCAACGCGCUGAAAAUAAAAUCUUACAAAUAUGAUGAUAUGACAUUAAAUUUUAGAUCAAAGUUAUUGAUCUUGUUUUAUAUGGUAUAAAAAAAUUUCUAUCAAAAUUUCAUGCGAUUUGGAUAUUUCUACACCGUUAAACUUGCAAACCGGCUCACCGGCCAUUAAAAUUAUUGAUUUUGAGCCACUUCGAUCACUAUAAGCAAAUGAUACGAAAAUCACAAAAUUUAUUUCCUAGGUAUUGAAAUACUCUAGAUCAACUUUAACGGGAGCCGAUCAUCGAUUCGAAAGUCCGAACAUCGAAACAAAGUAGAAGCACGGAGGGCUCCGUGCUUCCAUAAGCAUACCAGCCUACUCAUAUAUAUAUAUAUAUAUAUAUAUAUAUAUAUAUAUAUAUUAUAGAGAGAGAAGAGAGGAAUGUGAGAGGAGACGGGAGAGAAGAGAGAGGAUGGAGAGGAGAGAGAGAGAGAGAGAGUUGUGCUGGUAUGCUUAUGAAGCACGGAGGCUCCGUGCUUGCAAGUCGUUUCGAUGUUCGGACUUUCGAAUCGACCGAUCGGCUCGUUAGAGUUGAUCUAGAGUUAUUGAAGUACCUAGAAAAAUAAAUUUGCGAUUUUCGAUAUCAUUUGCCUGUGAUCGAAGGGGCUCCAAAUCAAUAUUUUAACGGCCUGUGGUGAGCCGGUUGCAAGUUUAACGGUUUAGAAAUAUCCAAAUCACAUGAAAUUUUGAUAGAAAAUUCUUUUAUACCUAUAAAAAAGAUCAAUAACUUUGUUCUAAAAUUUUAAUGUCAUAUCAUCAUAUUUUGUAAGAUUUUUAUUUUCAGCCGUUGAUUUUUGAGCAACUUCGAUCAUAGGCAAAUGAUAUCAAAAAUCGGUAAAAUUUAUUUUCUAGGUACUUCAAAUACUUUAGAUCAAGUCUAACGGAGCGCUCGUCGAUUCGAAAGUCCCAACAUCGAAAAAACUUGGAAGCACAGAGGCCUCCGUGCUUCCAUAAACAUACUAGCCGCACUAUAUAUAUAUAUAUAUAGAGAGAGAGGAGAGGAGAAGAGUUUUGCUGAAUACUAUCGGUAGUAAAACGAGCCGUUUUGCUACCGAUUUAUUUGCGAUUGAUAGAGCUUCCAAUUGACAAUCGGGUCCGUUUGAACAUGAUCUAUACCACUUGAAGUGUUUAGAAAUCAAAAAUUUCAAAUCUUUUCGACAUCAUUUGCCUAAUGAUCAAGGGUUUCAAAUUUGUAAUUUUAAUGGUCGAAUAAGAGGCGUUUUCUCGUUUAACGCGUAAGAUAUCCAAAUCAAUUGAAUUUUUCGAUAGAAAAUUCUUUAAACUAUUUAAAACAAGAUUUGUAUCUUGAUCUUGAUUACAAAACUCCUAUCAUUCAUUUUUUAAGAGCUAUCUAUUUUCAGUCAUUCAUUUUACUGUCACUUGAUGGAUAAAAGAACAAUAUCGAAAGUGCGUGAAAAAUUGAUUUCUAGUAGUUUAAAUGGUUUAGAUCAUAUUUAACGGAGCCGAUCGUCAAUUUGUAAGCUCUAUCAUCGAAAACAAAUCGGUAGUAAAACGGUUCGCUUUAUAUCGAUAGUAUUCUAGUUCAAGCUUCUCUCUCUCUCAUCUCUCUCUCUCUCUCUCUCUCUCUCUAUAUAUAUAUAUAUAUAUAUAUAUAUAGAGAGAGAGAGAGAGAGAGAGACUCUCUCUCUAUAUAUAUAUAUAUAUAGAGAGAGAGAGAGAGAGAGUAAGUCUUCCGUACUUUCGAAAGUACGGAGACCUCCGUGUUUAUAAGUUGUUUUCGAUAAUAGGAAAUCCGAUUCGACGAUCGGCUCCGUUAAAUAUAAUCUACCUUAUUGGAACUAUUUAGAAACCAAAUUUUAUAAUUUUUUGACAUCAUUUACCAAUCGAUCAAAAGGUCUCAAAAAUAACUAUUUUAACAGCCGAUGUGGCACAUUUUUAAGUUCAACGGUGUAUAAGUAUCCAAAUUAGAUGAAAAUUUAAUAGAAAAUUCUACUUAACAUCAUAGCAAGACCAAUACUUCCAAUUUGAAAUUUGAGUCCUUUGUCACUGUUUUUUAUGAGAUUUUUAUUUUCAGCCGUUUAUUUUGAGGCUACUUGUUUACUAGACAAAUGAAGUAAAAAAUUUAUGAAAUUUGGUUUCUAGGUGGUUCUAAUAGCGUAGAUCAUGUCUAACGGAACCAAUCGCCGAAUCGGAUGUCCUAUUAUUGAAAACAAUUUACAAGUACGGAGGCUUCCGUACUUUCGAAAGCAUAGGAGCCUAGCUCUAUAUAUAUAUAUAUAUAUAUAUAUAUAUAUAUAUGUAUGUAUUAUCUAAUUAAGAUGAUUUUUUUACGGAGUCUAUGAUUUGAUCGCUUCUCAAUAAUUUCACAACUUAAAUGCCCUUCAAUGGUGAAUUUAAUGUCACAGAAGCUCCAAAGAAUCUUAGCUAGCGAAGUAAAUGGAAUUGAAUGUAUCUCUGUUUAUCUUAAUUGAAUGGCUCUUAAAUAUUCAUAAUAUAUAUAUAUAUAUAUAUAUAUAUAUAUAUAUAAAUAUAGUAAUAUACUAUUUUAUGCAAAUGGGUCUAUUAAUGGAAGAGCACAAGACGUGCGACCAUGAAGCUCUCAUGGUGUCUUCUUCUUACGAGGAAGAGAUAAGCUUACAUUAAUGUCACUUGUUUCGUGUCAACAUAAGGGAUUUUUCGCAAAAUUCCUCCUAAAAUUUUUCCACCGUUGGAUCUUUUCUCCCUAAGAGGAUUGAGGUGAUGCAAAUACUUAGUUCUAAUUAAUAUAUGUUGACUUACAAUAUUCUUAGUAUUCUAUUAGUCAUCGAAAUCUUAUUAGUGGGUUUUUAUUUUAUUUUAUUUUUUUUCAAAACAUAGUAGAGUAUGGUUCACUUAAGAUACACGAGCCUUUAUUUUUUGUAUUAGCUCUGAGUAGGUUUCACCUAAAGGUAGGUUACAAGGCUUCAACUCCUUUAAUGAGUUGUUGCACCUUUUUUUUGCAAGGAUGCAAGGUUACUAUAGGUUUUUCCUUUUUCCUUUUUUGAUUAAUCGACUCUAAACAUCUACUGAGACCAAAUUAAUGUAGUCAUUUAAUUUCACAUGAUUUUGUAUCUUUGAGCUUAGCCACAAUUAAGAGCAAUAUCAAAGUGGAGAUGUUUUGAAAACAUAUUUGGAGGAAUAACUCAAUUUCAUUAUGCACAUAAGUGUCCUUGGUUGCGUAAGAGGGAGCAUCAAUGCCCCUUUUACGUUCAAACAUAAAGCAUAAAAAUGUUACUCUAUCGGAUCUCGAGUCGAGGCAAUCGUUGUGCGCGAGACUAUGAUGAUUUAAUUUAAAUAUUUUUCCCCACCAUUCAUCAUGAUUCUAAUUGCAACAUUUAAGGCAAUUAGGAUUUGUAGCCGACUCAAGCCCAACUACAUAGAUUUUUGACUCUCUUGUUAGCCUCAUUUCUCAAGCACUAGGUAACUUAAUCAAUGAUAUGGUUAAAGAGUGGAGAAAAUAUAUAUUUAUAACAUGUAUUUAGUUGUUCAUGGGGGCAAACCCAUGUGCCCCUCUUUUAUGUCUCCUAUACAAGUUCAUGGAGAGAUCUAGGGAGGGGGAUUAAUUGUAGAAGCCAAUAGAAAAAUGUUUAGGCAUUGAUUAAAGUAAUGCUAAGUAGAUCCCUCAUUUCUCAUGAGCUUUUUCAAAUGAUAUAUUUAUUAUACGACUAUUCAAAAGAGAAGUGCUUAACUAUUGGUGGAGUGAUUAGUUCAUGGAUUCUAUAGGGUAAGGGAUUAACAAAAUACCCUCCCAUCAAAGUCCCACCUCCUUUUUGGCUUUGCCUUGGUUUUGUUGAAAAGUAGCUCUUUCCACCCAUGGGCCAUGAAUAUGCAACAAUUAAUUAAAUUUUUAGAUUUGAUAGUUAAACUACUAGAUUUGUCGCCGCAUUUGCCUCAUGAAGGAAAGGUUUGACAUGGAUUAAAUAACACAUAUAUAGAAAGUGUGAGUAAGACCCCUUGGUUGAAGGUAAUUAAUAUAUAUGAAGAAAAGUAAAACACUUUUCUCGAAGAAAAGCAUCUUAUAUGUCUCAAACAGAUCAAAUAUUGCCAAAUAAUAAUGCAAAAAUUCACCAAAAAUUCAUUAUUGUCAUAUUAAACAGUUAUUAAACGUACAAUUGGUUAAAUUUUAUUAAUCUAGCUUACUAUGAGAUUAUUAUUGGCUUUUGACCUAUACUAAAUGGUAUUGGCGUUUCACGGAAAAUUUUCUAACUUUUUUUUUUUUUUCUCAGGCCAGAGUAUGAGAACUGUUUGUGUUGGUAUUUCCCUGCUUGGAAGAUAAUGGCUUCAUGGUGGAAAGAAUAAGUUAAGCCAAUCGAGGUAACGAUCCUACCAGUCUACUAAUUUGACUAAAAUUUUCUCAUCUGUUCUCUAGUAUCUGUUCUACAUUGGAUGCUACAUAAAAUUUAAAUCCCAUGCUAUGCAUUAUAUAUCCUUUUUAAGGUUUCAACUUAAUCUAAGCUUUAUAGUACACAACGUAGACAAUUUUUAUCAACAAGUAAUUAAUAAGACAUGCCAUGAUCAUGCUUGAACCGACCGUUAAUCACUCCCCCCCAAAUGAAGAGAAAAUCUAAAUUACUUUGUUCGUGCUUCUUUAUGUUUUACACGUAGGAACGUGCGUACGCACGUGUGCGUGUCUCUACGUGCUCGUAAACCCGCACGUACUACACUCGUUAACCAAAAUCAUAAUCUUGUUGACCAUAUUAUCUAAUACGACAACGAAGAUUGUUCCAGUACAGUUAUUAAUGCCCUUGUUAUUUAAAAUUGACUCGAUUAAAGAAUAUUAUUAGUUGCUUGUAUGAAUAAAUAUGGAGUAAACAUCUUUUAAUCAUCAAUUAAUCACUUAUAUGGUUGGGUUCGUCUUGUUUAUUUGAAUAAAUUGGGGUCAAUAGUAAUAGUAAUCGCUUCUUCCUCUCCACCAUCCAAUAAACAUCAUUUUAUGUAUUAUUUGAGCUAGUAUUAAGGCCGUGACGUGCGAUUUGUAUUCACCGUAAAACUCGAUUCGAAUCCUAAUCCUCGUCUUAAUGCGUUAAUUAUUAACAUAAAACUUUGUCGUCACUCUUCGAGCGAGUCCAAGGCGUGAUUAAAUGUAGCAUUAGAAGUCAAAAAGCUUAGAUGGCAAAUAACGGACACCUCUUAUUGACUUAGCUUCUUAUUUAAUGCAAAGUUGAGUAAUGGUAUAAUUAUUAAUUUAUUUGAAUUAAGUAGGUAAACUAUUCCUACCUGUCUUUGCUUGAAUUUCAAGUCGUAUACCCUACCAUUUAUUGUAUUUAUAUAUAUAUUUAUAUUUAUUUAUAUUUAUAUUUUCGAACCAUUGAGAUCGAUCUGAUAUUCUGAUGUAGAAAAACACGGGAAUUACAUCAUUUGGAAACUAUAAAGAGGAAUUGGAUUAAUGCUCUUUAUUCGACUAGUGCUUCUAUCUCAACUGAGACCAAAUGUACUUUCAUUUCUAAUUUGUUUUAAAUUGGAGUAUAUAUUAUAGUAUAUAUAAUAAUUUGGUGGAAUACUCUCAAAGCACCAACCUUUAGUUUUUGAGUUCGUAGCCCUUGAUCUACUCCUUGAUUAUUAAUAAGCUUUGGAUCAAACACUUUCCACCACCUACCAACCCCAUCAUCUCAACCCUACAUCAUCUUCGCAUCCAAUGGCUAAAACUCAAAAGCACCAACCCUUGUGCUCUUGAGAUAUUCUAGUUCAACUAUAUACUAUAUUAUAUAUAUAUAUAUAUAUUAUAUAAUAUAUUAAUAUAUAGCCAGGCUGGUAUAUAUCGGUAGCACGGAGGCCUCCGUUGCUUACCAAGUGUUUUCAAUGAUGUAGCUUCCAAAUCGACGAUCGGCUCCGUUAGACCUGACUACACUAUUAAAAGUAUUUGGAAACUAAAUUUCAUAAUUUUUCGACAUCAUUUGGCUAGUGAUCAAAAGAUCUCAAAAUGACAAUUUUAAUGGUAGAUUUGAUGUGUUUGUGAAUUUAACUGGUGUAAAGCAACCAAAUCUGUAUGAAAUUUUUAUAAAAAUUAUUUUUACUAUUAGAGUAGAGAUCAUACCUGGACUGAUCUUAAAUUCAAGUCUUUUAUCAUCAUUUUUUAUAAAAUUUUUAUUUUGAGCCGUUCAUUUUUAGACUACUUAUUUGAUAGGUAAAUAAUGUCGAAAAAUUAUGAAAUUUAAUUUUCAAAUACUUUUAGUAGUGUAGAUCAAAUAUAACGGAGCCGAUCAUUGAUUUGGAAGCCGCAUCAUUGAAAACAACUUGGUAGCACGGAGACCUCCGUGCUACCGAUAGUAUACCAGCCUAGCUCUCUCUCUCUCUCUCUCUCUCUCUCUAUAUAUAUAUAUAUAUAUAUAUAUAUUGAUAAUUCACCAGAUAGGAGGGAAUAUGGGAAAAGCCUAUGGGAAAAGCACACGUGUCCUAAUAAUAUGCCCUGCUUCUUCUAUGUUGUACAAGGAAUAAUACAGGUACCUAUGAAAUCCAUUGCCACAACUUAGGAUAAGUCCAUGCACUAUCACUAUUAUUGAUCUAUAAUGUAAAGAGAUUAGUACUUUUAAUUAUCUCUGAUAAAGUACAAUUUUUUAAAAUUAAGAUGAGGAAGAUAGCGGGAAAAGGGCACGUGUUGUACUGUUAUGCUCUCCUCUUCUAAGAUUUUGUACAAGGUCCUUCCAAAUUAAUAGCAAAUAAUACAAAUACAUAUAUACGUACAUAAUAUUACCUUAAUAACGUACUGCUUCAUGUACUCGUUGUAGAGGGACCAUCAUCGUAAAUGGAACAUCAACUGAAACAGUUAGUACUUGUGGAAACUAUUUCGUGGACCUUGUGUACCACUUCAUCUGAGGACCGUACCACAAAAUGCAGCUAUGGGGUUCUCUGGUUUGAUGAGAACAAUGGCACCUUUACAUUUGUAAAUUAGGUGUCUCAUUUAUUUGAUAGUUCUUACUCUCUAUUAAAUAUAAAAAUAUUUAAAUAUUAUUUUCUAUUAGUUUAAAUUUUUAGAGGACAACGAUUGGCUUCUAACGUUAUUAAUUUUUUUCUAUUUAAUUUAAGUUCAUGUUAUAGACCUUGCAAAAUGUCUUGAGUCCAAAUAUAAGAAGUUUUAAAUAUAAAAAUACAUAAGUAUUAUUUUUUAAUGACUUAAGCUUUUAAAGUACAAUCGUUGUUUCACGUCUAUCUUUAUUUAAAAUUUUGUAAACUUUACCAUCUAUCUUUUUUUUGUGUUUCAUAUUUACCGUCUAUUACUUUUCUCCUUUUUAAUCUCUACUGCUUAAUUAACUAUAAACAAUUAAUCAAUAAAGAUGAGAAAUUAAAAAGAAAGUCAAUUAAAAAAGAGUAAUUGUAAAUGUACAUCUCAAAAGGAGGUGUAAAGAGGGUAAAAUGGUAUUUGCAUCGACGGUCCACGGAUGACAUUUGGAGCGGGUCUAGGGAAUUAUUUCUCUAGACCACUUCCCUCAUCAUUCUCGGGUUAGAACUUAGAACCACUCGCAUCUAAGUGGCUCGACCCUGAUUCUGACCAAUCCAUUAUUUGAGUCCCACAUGAAAUCACAUUUUAAGUGUUAUCCUCAAGCCAUAAUAUUUAGCAAUUAAAAGAGAUAUCAUCCUUCACACAACUUUUUCACUAAAUCCCAAUCAUCUAACUGAUUUUUGUAAAAUUAAUAAUAAAAAUUUCAUAAAAAUACUUGUUGAAUUACUGGGUGGGACCGAAAGGUCCAUUAAAAAAAAGAAAAUCCAUUACCUCUUUAUACGAUCUUUUAUGUUGAAUAUAAUAUUAAGAUAUUAGUUUGUGUAAGGACCUCUUAAUUUAUAGAAUUUUUGCUGUAGUGUGUUCCCCAUAGGAUAUUUUUAAUUGCUACUGAGAAAUUGAGCUCUCAUUAAAGAACAUUCAAGUCACGGUUUCACUUCAAUCUUUAUCGAGGGUGGUUGAUGCUGAAUUUAAACCUAAGGUUUUAUUGUUUUGCUUCUCAUUUACAACUCUGUCCUAAGUUUCCUGUACUCCUUUGAAUGCCAACAUUAAUUUUCUAAGUACAAAACACUUGAUAGAUGCGUCUAGUGUUUGUGUGCUUCGAUCCGUGAAAAAAAAACGGCGAUGGGCCCUCCAAUAUUAUUCGUAAGGCGAUUUAUUUAUCGUAGACGCGCGUCAAAUAUUGUGGGGGGAAUAGUACUACUCUAAUAAGUAUAUAGAACGCCAAGUUAGUGUUCGAACCAAUGCUAUGUUCAUAUCCAUUUUACAUGCACGUAAACAAUGUGACAGUUUUUGAUUGGCCGAAUUCUGCAGUUACAGAAUGGCAGCAGUCGUAAAGCUUGAAAGAAACUAAUCUUAUGCUUUAAAUAAUUAUAAGAUAUUAGAGACAAGAAGCUCGUUUUAGCUUUCUAUUACAGUAGAAACUAAAGAUCUUCUACUUGUCCAAGUGCAUAUGAGCUGCUUACAUUAGAUCCAGUUUUGUUGCAGCAGAGGAGGGCUUUUUCUUUUUUAACCACCGGUUUCUUUCUAAUUGUUAGUUUUUGCCCAGUUUUGCUGCUUAUCAUUACUGUUUAGUGGCAAACUUAGAUGUUUAUGUUAGAGACAAGAAAAAGAUGAGCACCACUUUUGAACAUUGAUGCUGGUGCAUAGAGAUAAAAGGCUAGGCAUAAAUGUGCAUAACCCCUCUCCUAAACUUGAAUUGAAUUCGCCACCUAACCGCGUAAAAAGAAGAGGAUAAGUAAAGCAAUGGUCACUAACCUAAUUGCGAAAUUUCUGCGUAUCAAACUGCAAAGCUCUCGCGCCUAGAAGGCGCAUUAUAUAUAUAGGCCAUGGCUUCUAUACUAUUAUGAGUAUUGGAGCCCUCGUACUCAUAAGUUGUUUUCAGUGAUGAAGCUUCCGAAUCGACGAUCCACUCCGUUAAAUAUGAUCUAGAGUAUUUGAAACUUCUAGAAAAUAUAUUUCGUAAAUUUUCGAAAUCAUAAUAAAGUCCAUCAAGUGAGCAUAAAAUGAACGGUCAAAAUCGAACGACGUCCUAAAAAAGAAUGAUCGGAUCCUUCAAUUUAAGAUCAGAGUUAUUGAUUUUUAUCUAUGUAGUGAAUAGAAUUUUCUAUCAAAAAUUCAACAAAUUCCGAUUCUUUUACACCGUUAAACUAGCAAGUAUCCCAUACCGGCCGUUAAAAAUUGUCAAAUUUGUGACCUCUUGAUCGUAAGGUAAAUGAUGUUGAAAAUUAUAAAAUUUGAUUUCUAGAAGUUUUAAAUACUGUAAAUAACAUUUAAUGGUGUGGAUCGUCGAUUCAGAAGCUCUAUCAUCGAAAACAACUUAUGAGUACGAGGGCGAUCAUACUCAUAAUAGUAUAGUAGCCGGACCCUAUAUAUAUAUAUAUAUAUAUUAACAAUAGAAUUAGGCUAGAAUACUAUCAAUAGGACCAAGUUAUUGGUGCUAUUAGUUUUUUAGCUUUUGGAUUGAAAAAUGUGCGGUUAGGAUGAUGUGGGCCCCCUAGAGUUGAGUGAAUAGUUGACUGAAUAUUAUAAUCUAACGGAUAAAAAAAUUAAAGGGUUAAAUCUAACGGUAGAAAAUUCGAUAGCACAAAAUUCUUGGUGCUAUCGAUAGUAUCCCAGCCGGACUCUUAACAAUAAUUUUGUUGAGAGUUUCUCACUUCUCACUUGUCAUUUCACGAGUACCCUGUCGUCGCAUUGGAGUACAUAUCAAGUCGCAAGAGCAAACCUAAUGAAGCUCAGAGCUUUGAAGACUAAGCAUAAAAGCCUUUUUACUCUGAGAGCUUCAAAGAGCCCAUCAAGGCAUCAACUCACAUUCAUAUACUAAGAGACAUCCAAAGAGAGAGAGAGAGAGAGAGAGAGAGAGAAAAGCGAUCAACAAGACAACAUUCACUGUAUUGAACAAUAACAAGUGAUCUCCAAUCCUGCUUCUGCUUUUCACAACAGUAACCAUCAAUAGUGAGAGAAUAUAAAGUACGUCGAAACUCCAAUUUAGUGCUACUUUUGCAGCGGAAAGAAUCUAUCUACUGAAAAAACUUUCAAUUUAAGACUUACAAAAGUGAUACUCAGACAACACCUCAUCUAACAACACGCCACCCAACAGAAGGACCAAACAUGCCCUAAACUCAAAGAGAGCCACAUUACUUUGUUAUAUUGACCGGUGAAAUUGCUUUCGUUUAAGUUUUAACUAUUUCUUUAUCCUGUGCUUUUGUUCCAUUUCUGAUAUUGAAAAGAAACUCUACUUUCGAGUUUCAUCUCACCUGAACACUACAAGCAACAAAAAAGAAGGCACUGUAUGCAUCCUCUGUAACAAUUAUUAAGCUGAAUUGCAAGCAAAUCUUAGCAAGAUAAACAUGAAAAUGACCAUGUAACUACUACAUUCAUGUCACCUCUAUUGAGGAAAAAGGGAUUUACAAUACAGAUCCAAAAGAGAAGCACAUUUCUUUCUCUUAUUUUUGGGUGUGCCUACUACUCGAGUUCCUCUACCAAUGUACCUACACACUCAUAAAGCUCCUUCCUUUUUUACUACGCCAGGUAAUCAGGGUCACAAUUGAAGACCAUAUCGACAACGUCAUAAGAGAAAAUUGGAAGAAGCAAAGGUGCGCAUUAAUCUUCUAUCAUCUGCUGCCUUUGUAUCUCGUCUAUAUACGACAUGAAAGAGUUUUCGGAACCAUUCGUCGCAUUAUUACUGCCUCGGCAUUGCAACAGCUGUUGCUGAAGGCUUUGAAUAAACUCGUUCAACCGCUGAAUAGUCUUUUCUUGGGAUAAGAUAAUCUACAACAACGGAGUAACAAUCACGCUUAAUUAAUCACUUAAAUUAUAGUGCAAAAGCGUUACGCAAAAAGAAAGUAUAUUAGGUCGGGGUUUACCUUCUCUUUUACAACUUCUUGUCUAUUUGAAAUAUGCUGCUGAUUCUGAGAAAUGCCGGGAGUUGUUUCCAGUUCGCUCACAAGUUGUUGCUUCCAUUCGAAUUGCGAUGUUAUGAUCAGUAUCACUAGCAGAAAAACAAGAACUAUAGGUCUUGACAUCAUGUCGAAUGAUUAGGACGAACCUAUAAAUGAAGUUAGGUAUAUUUAGCAUUAUCAUCAACAAGAUUAAAGUUUAUAUCACUAAAGCAACAAAAAAUUGGGGUAGUUGAUAUUUAUUGCAAAAAGAAUAAACACCACCAACAUAACAGUAACAAGCACAAAAGGGAAAACAACACGAACAACAUAACAACCACAAAAACAGCAGCAGAAGCAGUGAGUCAAGUUCCAACUUUUCGAUGUCAACUUCAACAACCUUUUUCGUCGUUUCUACCGUACAAGUUUACUCCCCAAAACAACGAAAACCUUUCCACUCAUUUAAAGGAGUAUCCUUUACUAUGUAUCUAUAAGUCAUACUGAGCAUAAAAACCCAAUAAUCACGUGUAUCAUUCCUAACAUUUCCUACACAGCUCCAUGUUUCGAUCAUAUGGUGUCAUUUAAAUCUUCACACUCCUUGAACAAUUGGUAAAUAUAUCUCCUCGAUAUGUAUCGAUACAUCACGUGCAUCUCUCCUGAGAUAGUCGCAAAAGUCUAUUUACUAUGAUUAUUCAAUGAUAACACUAAUUGCCACAUCUCCUAGAAUAUCUCAUGAUUAAUGAACUUGAAGGAAUCCUCUUUUCCCAGUGCUAUCCACUAUUAGCCCAAAAGACCAACACCUUGUAUAUAUCAUCUUUUACUGCAUAUGAAAAUUUUUCAUUUGCUCUAAUAUCCCUAUUGAGCUCUCUCAAUUCUACCACUCAGCAGCAACAAAAUUGAUCAUAACCCAGUUAAUAUCCACACAUUCUGUAACCAAUCAUGGAACAACUACCCCAUAUCCCUACAUAUAAACAAACAUUCGUAGCUUUUACUAACCUCAAUCAUGCAUUUGAAUCCGCAUUAGCUGCUACUUUUUUCUCAAUUCACAUACUAAACCUUGCAUAAGGGGAAAAAAAAUAAAAAAUCGGUGAGAUUACUCACAGAGCAUUCCAUUAGUCGCGACGCUCGAUCGAUCGAAAGGGCUCCGUCCCCUUCUUCGUUCCCGAUCUUCGAUUAGAGGGUUAGGGUUUUUGGCCGAUUCCGUGCUCCAAUAGCGGGCGAUGGGUUUCUGAUUUGGGGAAAGCAUCGUCGACAAUUUUGAUUAUUUUCCCCUCACAUUCUUUUUUUUUUUUGGAUCGGGUCUCCCACGUAAUCCAUGAACCGUCCAUGAGUGGUUUCACACCAUUUUUUUUUUUUUUAAUUUUAGUACGAUGUGCUGUAAAUUGUAUCAAUUUAGUAUUUCGUAAUUUUAUUUUUCUCUUUUUAUUAUUUAAUUAUUAAUUUUUUUUUCGUUAAAUCAGUAUCAAAGUUAAAAUUAAAAGAUAAUGUGAAUAUUCGAUAAAUCUAAAUAAGGUAUCUGACGUUUUUUAUAUAUAAUUUAUCGAAAUGUUACGGAGAAAUUGAUAAAAAGAGAAAAAUAAAAAUACAGAAUACUAAAUUGAUAUAUUUUAAAUCAUAAAUUACUAAAAUAUGAAACACUGCGGUGCUAUUUGAAGUUUUUUUUUUUUUUUGCCCUCUUAUUUUUGGGAUUGAAGGAUGAUGCGGUCUAGGGAUGACAUGGUGAACCAGAUCCAGGUAAGUUUCAUCUUUUUUUGGCUCAUUUCCCUCCUUAACUGGGCCGUGUAACAUUUGCGCGGGAACCCUCACACUAUUGGACCCCAUUAUUUGGGCCCCUCGCCUCACUUUGGGGCCUCAUCGAAACCAUGUGAAAACCCAGGGAAACCUCCUCUUCCCUGUUUGGC
rnacentral:lncRNA from 1 species